rnacentral:snRNA from 1 species
UCACUUUGGAAGUGUAUAUACUAACACUAGAAUGACACAGAGAAGAAUAGCACAGCCCUUGUGCAAGGAUGAUGUGCGUAUUUGUGAAGUGUUCCACAUUUAU